UGUGUAGGCGGUUCCCUAAGUUCGGUGUGAAAUCUCCCGGCUCAACUGGGAGGGUGCGCCGGAAACUGGGGGGCUUGAGUAUGGGAGAGGAAGGCGGAAUUCCUGGUGUAGCGGUGAAAUGCGUAGAUAUCAGGAGGAACACCUGCGGUGUAGACAGCUUUCUGGACCAUCACUGACGCUGAGACACGAAAGCGUGGGUAGCAAACAGGAUUAGAUACCCUGGUAGUCCACGCCCUAAACGAUGCAUACUUGGUGUGAGCCGUUCAGUCGGUUCGUGCCGGAGCUAACGCGUUAAGUAUGCCGCCUGGGGAGUACGGUCGCAAGGCUGAA
rnacentral:rRNA from 1 species